rnacentral:rRNA from 1 species
ACUAACAAGGAUCCCCUAGUAACUGCGAGUGAAGCGGGAAAAGCUCAAAUUUAAAAUCUGGCGGUCUCCAGGCCGUCCGAGUUGUAAUUUAGAGAAGCGUUUUCCGCGCCGGACCGUGUACAAGUCUCCUGGAACGGAGCGUCGUAGAGGGUGAGAAUCCCGUCUUUGACACGGACAACCGGGGCUAUGUGAUACGCUCUCGAAGAGUCGAGUUGUUUGGGAAUGCAGCUCAAAAUGGGUGGUGAACUCCAUCUAAAGCUAAAUAUUGGCGAGAGACCGAUAGCGAACAAGUACCGUGAGGGAAAGAUGAAAAGCACUUUGGAAAGAGAGUGAAACAGUACGUGAAAUUGCUGAAAGGGAAACGCUUGAAGUCAGUCGCGUCCUUCGGAAUUCAGCCCCCGUGGUGUACUUUCCGUCGGACGGGCCAGCAUCAUUUUCGACCGCCGGAGAAGGGCGGGGGGAACGUGGCACCCUUUACGGGGUGUGUUAUAGCCCCUCGUCGUAUACGACGGUCGGGAGUGAGGACCGCCUUUGUUGCAGGAUGCUGGCGUAAUGGCUUUAAACGACCCGUCUUGAAACACGGACCAAGGAGUCUAACAUGCCCGCGAGUGUUCGGGUGGAAAACCCGUGCGCGUAAUGAAAGUGAAAGUUGGGAAGGCUGUCGCGGCCUGCACCGACGCCCGGACCUGAGAUUCAUCGACGGUUCUGCGGUAGAGCGUGUAUGUUGGGACCCGAAAGAUGGUGAACUAUGCCUGAAUAGGGUGAAGCCAGAGGAAACUCUGGUGGAGGCUCGUAGCGAUUCUGACGUGCAAAUCGAUCGUCAAAUUUGGGUAUAGGGGCGAAAGACUAAUCGAACC